GGGAUUGGAGCCACAGAAGGAGUGAAGGGUUAUUCUAAUAAUACAGCCUCGAAAUCCUGACAGCCAGUGAUGCAUGAGUCUUCUAAUACUCCUUUUGGCCUUUAAAUCCAUGCUUUAGUUGUUGCCUUCCUUGAAGACAUGGCUGGGGGUGUCAUCUUAGUAUUUACAACCAUCAGUUAGGAUUACAUUGACAGCAUCUAGUGGGAGGGAGAGUCCACUAGACCCCAUGGCUGGAAAUCUGAAGAAAGAAAGCUGGCAUGCGUUAUAAAAUCACAAGAAUAGCCAGCACCAUCUCCACAGGCUGUGGAACCCCGCGCGAUACCAAGGGGAUUGGAGCAAGCAAGUUACACUCUCUGCUUCUCUUUCUAAGAAUCAUUUAGGACUCACGGGCUUACAAGUGGGGCAGCACACGGGCAGUGGCUGAUGGAGGAGAGGGGAGGCAUCAGAAGAGAUGCUAUGAUGGAAUCUGCAGUCGCAGUAGCAGCAGUGGUGCCAGGGCCCAGGCUGUCAACCUUCCCCAGGCGCUCAGAUCGGUGUGUGACACGGAAGACAGCCGGACGCGCGAGUUGAGUCUCCUCGGGAAGCAUCACUCUGGCUGCUGAGUGGAAAGGAGAUUUUAAGACUGCUGUUGGGGAAGGAGGAAGACCAGUUGGGAGGCUGCUGCAUCUUCAGCUCCCGAUUACUCAUGGCUUCAGACUUCCAUCAAUUUAAUAAAAACAAAACAAUGGAGUGAAGACUGAAAAAUUACCUAUUGAGUACCAUGUUCACUGUUUGGAUGAUGGGUACACUGAAAACCCAGACUUCAUCAGCAUGCAGUAUAUGCAUCUAAAAGCUCUGCACUAAAUAUUUGUGAAAAAGAAGACAAAACAGGCAAUAAAAUAAUUCUGACAUAUUAAAACAGCCAGCCUAUAACUCAGUUCAAAAUAUUCGAGCAAAGCUGAGGUCUUUGGGUAGUUGGUAGGGUGAGUAAUAACUGAAUGGGGUGACAAUGAGGAGAGUCAGGAGGGCUAAACAUGGCUUCCACCUCUUGCCAAAGCCUGGUGUGGCUGCAGC
rnacentral:lncRNA from 1 species